GGUGGUUCAGUGGUAGAAUGCUUGCCUGGCAUGCAUGAGGCCCUGGGUUCAAUUCCUCAGCACCA
rnacentral:tRNA from 1 species